rnacentral:rRNA from 1 species
UUGAUCCUGGCUCAGAAUCAACGCUGGCGGCGCGCUUAACACAUGCAAGUCGCACGAGAAAGUGGAGCAAUCCAUGAGUACAGUGGCGUACGGGUGAGUAACACGUGGGUAAUCUGCCUCUUAGUGGGGAAUAACUCUGGGAAACCGGAGCUAAUACCGCAUAAGCCUGGAAAGGGAAAGCAGCAAUGCGCUGAGAGAGGAGCCCGCGGCCGAUUAGCUAGUUGGUAGGGUAAAGGCCUACCAAGGCAAUGAUCGGUAGCCGGCCUGAGAGGGCACACGGCCACACUGGCACUGAAACACGGGCCAGACUCCUACGGGAGGCAGCAGUGGGGAAUCUUGCACAAUGGGGGCAACCCUGAUGCAGCGACGCCGCGUGAGCGAUGAAGCCCUUCGGGGUGUAAAGCUCUUUCGGCAGGAACGAUAAUGACGGUACCUGAAGAAGAAGCUGCGGCUAACUACGUGCCAGCAGCCGCGGUAAUACGUAGGCAGCAAGCGUUGUUCGGAGUUACUGGGCGUAAAGAGUGUGUAGGCUGUUCUCUAAGUUUGGUGUGAAAUCUCCCGGCUCAACUGGGAGGGUGCGCCGAAAACUGGAGGGCUCGAGUAUGGGAGAGGAAAGCGGAAUUCCUGGUGUAGCGGUGAAAUGCGUAGAUAUCAGGAGGAACACCUGCGGUGUAGACAGCUUUCUGGACCAUCACUGACGCUGAGACACGAAAGCGUGGGUAGCAAACAGGAUUAGAUACCCUGGUAGUCCACGCCCUAAACGAUGCAUACUUGGUGUGAGCCGUUCAUUCGGUUCGUGCCGGAGCUAACGCGUUAAGUAUGCCGCCUGGGGGAGUACGGUCGCAAGGCUGAAACUCAAAGGAAUUGACGGGGGCCCGCACAAGCGGUGGAGCAUGUGGUUUAAUUCGACGCAACGCGAAGAACCUUACCUGGGCUCGAACGGCUUCGGCAACUCUGUGGAAACAUGGGGCCUCCCGCAAGGGACCGGAGUCGAGGUGCUGCAUGGCUGUCGUCAGCUCGUGUCGUGAAAAUGUUGGGUUAAGUCCCGCAACGAGCGCAACCCUU